rnacentral:lncRNA from 1 species
UGGGGUGAGAACUAUCUUCCAUAGUUCCCAGUGGGCUCGGCCGCCGACUCCGCCGAUCUCCCCACUAGGUCCAAGUGGGCAAAGCAAUAACAGAUAGAUAGAUAGAUAUAUAUCUAAAACAGUAAAUGACAUAAUAGAUAAGCUAUGCUACUAUGCCCAUAAUCAGAGAUAUGAAUGCAUGCAUCAUUUAGUAAAGGUUUACUAUCAAGCUACUAUGUCCAAUUCAACCAUGUUCAACGACGGUUUAUUCUUUUAUUUACCCAAUCCAUGGCGAAUCCCUUGAGGUCGCCCUCGACUCACAUCUUCAUCCCGUUGGGUAAGGAAACUCAACUCGGUCUCAGACCCGGGAUUGUCUGCGGACAUCAACUCUGUCCUGAUCGCCCGACACUCCGGAGUACUCGAUGACAUGGAUGGCUAUACCACCCCGGAUGGCUAUACCACCGCAAUAACAGACCGUGAGCUUGAUCUAUCCUCUCCACUUGAGGACACCCUACGAACUAGGGCAAACAAUUCUCCCGGAACUCAACUAUUCUGACAAUCAUGCAUAUGUGCUACUAUACUAAGUUCUUUGUUCACGAGUCAUUCACUAGGGAAUUCUCCUAUCCCGAUGUUCACGUACCACAAGUGUCAUAAUACACUACAUUAGAUGCCACUCGUUUUGUUCACAUAUCAAUUAUAUGCCACUCGUUAUGUCACUAAUCAUCAUCGAGUUCAUCUCUUUCCUUUAGCACUAUAGGAUUCAAUGUUCCGACCCAAUCCUUACCUAUCAAAUUUACUAAGUAUUCGACUCACACUAGGUUAUUCCUUAGAAAGCAUAAGAAAAAGGUAUUACAAUGCAAUCCUACUAUGCAUAUGCAAGAGUUGAAAUUUCAUAUGUUCUAAAACAUAAUAAGGAGUUCAGUUACUUCGGGAUGACACCCCCGACCUUUCGAAGAUGAUUUACGUUGUAGAGGUCCUAAGAAUGAUCCUCGGCACUUGCUUCGAUGCUAUCUCGGCCGCUUAGGUCGAAACGAAGCCCGCUCGGCCUUGCUUUGCCGAUAACUUUACACCCGCUCGACGAAUCGCGAUUCCGACUUCGCCAACGCGUUUAGACACCUAUCAAUUAGGUUUAGACACUAUCAAUUGUGAUCAAACCCUUCUAGUAAGCAAAUCUCCAAUUUGGGUGCCCUAGGUUUGCAUCUAUGCUAAGCCAUCACUUCAAAAACCCUAGAUUCUAGCUACAAGCAAGUGUUGAACAUGCUAAAGGUCCAUUUGACCUAUUUACAAAGCUAGAAACUCAAAACCCUAGGUUUCCACCAUUAGGGUUUAGAAGCUUACCUCUUGGCUAGCUCCAAUGGAAGGAAGAAGAAGAGGAGAAGAUGGUGAUGGUGAUCUCCUUCAAGUUCCCCUCCUACUUAUUUUUCUUCUCCUUCUUCUUCUUUUCUUUCUUCUUCUUCUCCUUCUUCUUCUUUUCUAGAGAGAGAGAGAGAGAGAGAAAUGAGAGAGUUGGGAGGGAAAUAAGAGAGGGAGAGAGGGUUAUUUGCCCUCUAUACCCCUUACUAAUGGCAUAAUUGCAGCCAAGCCCCUUCACUUUGUCUUUCUCAAACUGCUCUGCCUGGGCAGUUUUCGCGUACGGGGACCGGUCCUUCUACGGGAGGACCGGUCCUUCUACGGGAGGACCGGUCCUUCUACGGGAGGACUGGUCCUCGAGAGCUUCUCUCGCAGGCUGGAGAUCCCAGCUAGCUUCCACGCACACGGGGACCGGUCCCUCCCGCCAGGGAUCAAUUCCCGAGAGCAAUGCUCUCGCAGGACACUUACGGGAACCGGUCCUCCACUGGGAGACCGGUCCCCACAGGGACUCCUCAUUGCUUAUGGGGACCAGUCUCUCCCGCGAGGGACCGGUCCCCGAGAGCAUUACUUGUGCGCACAGAGUUUUCUGCCGCACACCAGCUUACGGGAACCAGUCCCUCAUACCAGGGACCGGUCCCCGAGAGCUCGAUCUGCAGAAUUGCAGGUUUGCACUAUUUGCUCUCGUGGACUCCAACUCCAAUGCACUUUUUGGAUUUUAGACAUCUUCGGCUUUUCCGAAGCAUACGCACUCGACAACUAAUCGAUUCUUAACAAAGUCCAACUCUCGGAUUUCGAGAAUUCACUUCCUUACACAUAAAAUUGCAAAAACGCCCUCGGCUAUGGUAUAACCCCACAGGCAAAAUUGGGAUCCUCGCUGUGAGAAAAUCUUUUGAGGCUCACAGGCAAAAGUUAGGGGAAAAUAUCUGGUGAAAACCCAUUCGGGCAUCAGAGUAUCCAAAAUAUAUUUUGCCUAUGACGGAAUACUAACUCACCUUAGGGUCGGUUAUGCGCAGCAAUUUCGAUUGCUUCUCGAAGCAAAAUAAAAAAAAAAAAAAUUUUCUGAUAAAAAAAAAAGAAAGAAAGGUGGAAGACAUGUUAUCUAAAUUAUUUUAGAUAAUAUGAGUAAAAUAUGGGCUACCAAGUUUUUUAGAUAAUAUGGGUAAAAUAUGAGCUACCAGCGGAUUUCAUUGUCCACAUCGAAAUUCAAAGUAAAAUUACAAAAAAUUUCCGGCUGUGGUAUAACCCCACAAGCAAAAUUAGAAUCCCCGCUGUGAGAAAACCUAUCGAGGCUCACAGGCCAAAGUUAGGAGAAGGUAUCUGAUGAAAACCCAUUCGGGCACCAGAGUACCCAAAAAAAAUUUUGCCUAUGACAGAAUGCUAUCUUACCUGAGGGUUUGUUAUGCACAGCAAUUUCGAUUGCUUCUCGAGGCAAAAUAAAUAAAAAUAAUCCAUAUAUCCUAUUACUUAAAAUAUAUUUUGCCUAUGACGGAAUGCUAACUCACCUUAGGGUUGGUAAUGCGCAGUAAUUUUAAAUGCUUCUCGAGGCAAAAUAAAUAAAAAUAAUCCAUAUUCCCUAAAACCCGAGAUAUAUCUUGCCUAUGACGGAAUGCUAACUCACCUUAGGGUCGGUUAUGCGCAGCAAUUUCGAUUGCUUCUCGAGGCAAAAUAAAUAAAAAAAAAAGAAUGCAUAUUUCCUUAUAAAAAAAAGAAAAAAGUGGAGGACAUGUUGUCAAAUUGUUUUAGAUAAUAUGGGUAAAAUAUGAGCCACCAGCGGACUUGAUUGUCCACAUUGGACUUCAAGGGUAUUGUCACGCCCCGAGACUGCAACUAAUUUGGUCCGGUUCGGGCGCGUCGAACAGACGCCGGACGGACAGCACCUCCCCUGUUCGCCCAAGGCUCAACAACGAGAUUGUGCACAAGAAUUCACCCAGGAUAUUAAAUUCAAUACAUACACAAUCAACGGGCACAACCAGUGCCAACAUAAAAGAGCAAGUAAGCUACAAGUAAUACAAGUAAAAUAAAGAGAGAUUUACUAGCUAUUACAUCACAUAGCACUCUUUCAUUUACAUUUACAUGUUUCCCCAAAAUGAAUACAUGAUCAUUUCCAAAUACAUACUUAGCUCUUCCAAAAUAUAAAGCAUCUAGAUACAAAACGGUACUCUAAUGCAUAGGAACGCUAGAAAUGUAACUACUGCUCGGGCGCGAUGCCCUUGCCGUGAUCCUCGCCCGGUGCACCAGCACUCGACCCUGUAAUGAAGUAGGGUGAGAACUAUCUUCCAUAGUUCCCAGUAGGCUCGGCCGCCGACUCCGCCGAUCUCCCAACUAGGUCCAAGUGGGCAAAGUAAUAACAGAAAGAUAGAUAGAUAGAUAUAUAUUUAAAACAGUAAAUGACAUAAUAGAAAAGCUAUGCUAAUAUGCCCAUAAUCAGAGAUAUGAAUGCAUGCAUCAUUUAGUAAAGGUUUACUAUCAUGCUACUAUGUCCAAUUCAACCAUGUUCAACGACGGUUUAUUCUUUUAUUUACCCAAUCCAUGGCGAAUCCCUUGGGGUCGCCCUCGACUCAUAUCUUCAUCCCG